rnacentral:rRNA from 1 species
GAAAGUUUAUUUUGAUUCUUCAUUGUAAGAGCUUCCCCCUAUCUUAAUCCUUUCGUACUAAAAAUAGGCCAUAAAAUUUGAGGAUAGAAACCAACCUGGCUUACGCCGGUCUGAACUCAGAUCAUGUAAGAAAUCAAAAGUCGAACAGACUUUCCAACAAAACUUCUGCACCUUGCUAAUUUCUUAAUCCAACAUCGAGGUCGCAAACCUUUU